rnacentral:rRNA from 1 species
GACGAACGCUGGCGGCGUGCUUAACACAUGCAAGUCGAACGGAAAGGCCCUGCUUGCAGGGUACUCGAGUGGCGAACGGGUGAGUAACACGUGGGUGAUCUGCCCUGCACUUCGGGAUAAGCCUGGGAAACUGGGUCUAAUACCGGAUAGGAGCCAUUUUUAGUGUGAUGGUUGGAAAGUUUUUUCGGUGUAGGAUGAGCUCGCGGCCUAUCAGCUUGUUGGUGGGGUAAUGGCCUACCAAGGCGGCUACGGGUAGCCGGCCUGAGAGGGUGGACGGCCACAUUGGGACUGAGAUACGGCCCAGACUCCUACGGGAGGCAGCAGUGGGGAAUAUUGCACAAGGGGCGCAAGCCUGAUGCAGCGACGCCGCGUGGGGGAUGACGGCCUUCGGGUUGUAAACUCCUUUCGCUAGGGACGAAGCUUUUUGUGACGGUACCUAGAUAAGAAGCACCGGCUAACUACGUG